rnacentral:rRNA from 1 species
UACCCGCAGCACAAGUGGUGGUCAUUAUUAUUGGGCCUAAAGCGUCCCGUAGCUGGCUUGUUAGAUGCCUGGGUAAAUCGAUGCGCUCAACGCAUCGAACUCCGGGUAGACCGGCAAGCUUGGGACCGGGAGAGGCGUGAGCUACUCGAGGGGUAGGGGUAAAAUCCUGGUAAUCCUUCGGGGAGGACCAGUGGCGAAGGCGUCACGCUAGAACGGCUCCGACAGUGAGGGACGAAGGCCCUGGGGACGGCAAACCGGAC